rnacentral:misc_RNA from 1 species
CAUUUUUUGAAUUGAAAAAAUUUUCGUUGUAUUAGAAUCCGAUUCUACUUAUGAUUCUAUUCAAUUGGUAGAAUAAAAAAAAGUGUAUAAACAGAACUUCUGUUUAUACAGAAGUUCUUUUGAUUAUUCGGACGCACCAACUAGUUAUAGUUACGAAAUCCCAUUGAUAGCCUCUACUCGUGCCCUAGCUCGUCUGAGAGCUAGAUUUGCCUCAAUUAUUUGUCUCCUGCCUUCCGCUUUCCUCAAGUUAGCUUCUGCUAUUUCAAGAGUUUGCUGAGCUUCUUGUGGAUCAAUGUCACUACCCUUCUCUGCAUCAUUUACUAAAACAGUAAUCUCAUUAUUGCCUAUUCUAGCAAAACCACCCAUCAGAGCCAUCGUUAACCAUUGGUCAUUAAGGCGUAUUCUCAAAAUACCGAUAUCGACAGCUGUGG